CGUGCGGCAGCUACACAUGCAGUCGAGCGGAACGGCAGUAUUGAAGCUUCGGUGGAUUUACUGGACGUCGAGCGGCGGACGGGUGAGUAACGGCUGGGAACCUGCCCUGACGAGGGGGAUAACCGUUGGAAACGACGGCUAAUACCGCAUAAUGUCUACGGACCAAAGGUGGCCUCUACAUGUAAGCUAUCGCGUCGGGAUGGGCCCAGUUAGGAUUAGCUAGUUGGUAAGGUAAUGGCUUACCAAGGCGACGAUCCUUAGCUGGUUUGAGAGGAUGAUCAGCCACACUGGGACUGAGACACGGCCCAGACUCCUACGGGAGGCAGCAGUGGGGAAUAUUGCACAAUGGGGGAGACCCUGAUGCAGCCAUGCCGCGUGUGUGAAGAAGGCCUUCGGGUUGUAAAGCACUUUCAGCAGUGAGGAAGGUAGUGUACUUAAUACGUGCAUUGCUUGACGUUAGCUGCAGAAGAAGCACCGGCUAACUCCGUGCCAGCAGCCGCGGUAAUACGGAGGGUGCGAGCGUUAAUCGGAAUUACUGGGCGUAAAGCGCAUGCAGGCGGUUUGUUAAGUCAGAUGUGAAAGCCCGGGGCUCAACCUCGGAACCGCAUUUGAAACUGGCAGGCUAGAGUCUUGUAGAGGGGGGUAGAAUUUCAGGUGUAGCGGUGAAAUGCGUAGAGAUCUGAAGGAAUACCAGUGGCGAAGGCGGCCCCCUGGACAAAGACUGACGCUCAGAUGCGAAAGCGUGGGUAGCAAACAGGAUUAGAUACCCUGGUAGUCCACGCCGUAAACGAUGUCUACUUGGAGGCUGAGGUUUAAGACUUUGGCUUUCGGAGCUAACGCAUUAAGUAGACCGCCUGGGGAGUACGGCCGCAAGGUUAAAACUCAAAUGAAUUGACGGGGGCCCGCACAAGCGGUGGAGCAUGUGGUUUAAUUCGAUGCAACGCGAAGAACCUUACCUACUCUUGACAUCCAGCGAAUCCUUUAGAGAUAGAGGAGUGCCUUCGGGAGCGCUGAGACAGGUGCUGCAUGGCUGUCGUCAGCUCGUG
rnacentral:rRNA from 1 species